rnacentral:rRNA from 1 species
AUUGAACGCUGGCGGCAGGCUUAACACAUGCAAGUCGAGCGGGGUGAUGGUGCUUGCACUAUCACUUAGCGGCGGACGGGUGAGUAAUGCUUAGGAAUCUGCCUAUUAGUGGGGGACAACAUCUCGAAAGGGAUGCUAAUACCGCAUACGUCCUACGGGAGAAAGCAGGGGAUCACUUGUGACCUUGCGCUAAUAGAUGAGCCUAAGUCGGACUAGCUAGUUGGUGGGGUAAAGGCCGACCAAGGCGACGAUCUGUAGCGGGUCUGAGAGGAUGAUCCGCCACACUGGGACUGAGACACGGCCCAGACUCCUACGGGAGGCAGCAGUGGGGAAUAUUGGACAAGGGGGGGAACCCUGAUCCAGCCAUGCCGCGUGUGUGAAGAAGGCCUUAUGGUUGUAAAGCACUUUAAGCGAGGAGGAGGCUCUUUUGGUUAAUACCCAAGAUGAGUGGACGUUACUCGCAGAAUAAGCACCGGCUAACUCUGUGCCAGCAGCCGCCGUAA